rnacentral:tRNA from 1 species
GGGGUUGUGGCUCAGUGGUAAAGCGCUUGCCUAGCAUGUAUGAGGCGCUAGGUUCGAUCCUCAGCACCA